rnacentral:misc_RNA from 1 species
GCUGCCCCUAUCAACAGCGCCACUAGCACCACAACCUUCUCAUUCUCAGUCCACAGCACCGCCGCCAUUGAUCACACUGCAGCUACGCUAGAGAUGGGGCGGCGCAUCCUGAACGACGCCCUUCGAUCCAUCGUUAACGCGGAGAGGAGGAAGAUGGCGACCGUGAAGCUCCAGCCAAUCUCCACCACCAUGGCCUCCUUCCUCAAGAUCAUGAAGGACCGAGGG